rnacentral:sRNA from 1 species
UAAUGAAGCACAACAGUUAUUGAUUCCUAUCAUUGCCAUGAAUUUUCGUGCAUUUCUAACUGGGGCACUAGUAAUUGGAGUUUUCUUUAUAUCUGAUGUCCUAAUGGCCACCUAUAACCGAAAUUCAACCAGGCCCCGUUUGCGAUUAUUCCCAAGUGCAAUUACUGGACUCAAGUAAGAUUUCUGACCUUCGUAAUGGAGUUUUAACUGAAAUGUUAAUAAACAAGAAGUUCGAAUAUAAAUAAAUGCAUAGAAGUGGAAAAUUCAA